AAGCGGCGGACGGGUGAGUAACGCGUGGGCAACCUGCCCUGUACAGGUGGACAACACCGGGAAACCGGUGCUAAUACCGCAUAACACACCACUGUGGCAUCACAGAGGUGUCAAAGGAGAAAUCCGGUACAGGAUGGGCCCGCGUCCAAUUAGCUAGUUGGUGGGGUAAAGGCCUACCAAGGCGACGAUUGGUAGCCGAACUGAGAGGUUGAUCGGCCACAUUGGGACUGAGACACGGCCCAGACUCCUACGGGAGGCAGCAGUGGGGGAUAUUGCGCAAUGGGGGGAACCCUGACGCAGCAACGCCGCGUGAAGGAUGAAGGUUUUCGGAUCGUAAACUUCUUUGAUUGGGGAAGAAGAAAGUGACGGUACCCAAAAAACAAGCCACGGCUAACUACGUGCCAGCAGCCGCGGUAAUAUGUAGGUGGCAAGCGUUGUCCGGAAUUACUGGGUGUAAAGGGCGUGUAGGCGGGGGUGCAAGUCAGAUGUGAAAGCCCAGGGCUCAACCUUGGGACUGCAUCUGAAACUGCAUCUCUUGAGUGCCGGAGAGGAAAGCGGAAUUCCCAGUGUAGCGGUGAAAUGCGUAGAGAUUGGGAGGAACACCAGUGGCGAAGGCGGCUCUCUGGUCUGUUACUGACGCUGAGGUGCGAGAGCGCAGGUAGCGAACGGGAUUAGAUACCCCGGUAGUCUGUGCCGUAAACGAUGGGCACUAGAUGGUGGAGGCGCCGAUAGCUUUCUCCGUCGCAGCUAAUACGUUAAGUGCCCCGCCUGGGGAGUAUGGCCGCAAGGUUAAAACUCAAAGGAAUUGACGGGGGCCCACACAAGCGGUGGAGGAUGUGGCUUAAUUCGAGGAUACCCGUAAAACCUUACCGAGGCUUGACAUGCAGGUGGUAGUGAAGUGAAAGCGGAACGACCCGAAUAGGGAGCCUGCACAGGUGCUGCAUGGCUGUCGACAGCUCGUGUCGUGAGAUGUUAGGUUAAGUCCUGUAACGAGCGAAACCCUUGUGCUUAAUUGCCAGCGCGUUAUGGCGGGGACCUUAAGCAGACUGCCCCGGCCAACGGGGAGGAAGGUGGGGAUGACGUCAAGUCAGCAUGGCCUUUAUGCCUCGGGCUGCACACGUCCUACAAUGGGCUGUACAAUGGGGACCCAAACCGCAAGGUGGAGGAAAUCCUAUAAAGCAGUCCUCAGUUCGGAUUGCAGGCUGAAAUUCGCCUGCAUGAAGAUGGAAUCGCUAGUAAUCGCCGGUCAGCAUACGGCGGUGAAUACGUCCCUGGGCCUUGUACACACCGCCCGUCAAGCCACCCGAGUUGGGAGCACCCGAA
rnacentral:rRNA from 1 species